UCGUCAUCGUAGGGUUAGUCGGGUCCUAAGUCGAGUCCGAAAGGGGUAGACGAUGGCAAAUUGGUUAAUAUUCCAAUACCAACAAAUAAGCGCGAUGUGGGGACGCAUAGAGUUAAUCGAGGUCACGGAUGGAAGUGUGGCUCGAAGGACGUAGGUUGAUACUUAGGCAAAUCCGGGUAUCGUUAGACCGAGAUCUUACAGGCUGUUGCCGUUCUUCGGAACUAAUACAGAAUCGAUGAUACUGUCGUGCCAAGAAAAGCCACUAAGUUUAUUAUUUGUUGCCCGUACCGUAAACCGACACAGGUGGGUGGGAUGAGUAUUCUAAGGCGCGUGGAAGAACCCUGGUUAAGGAACUCUGCAAACUAGCACCGUAUCUUCGGUAUAAGGUGUGCCUACUUUGGUAUAGAGAUUUACUCUCAAAAGCUAAAGAGGUUGCAACAAAGAGUCCCUCCCGACUGUUUAC
rnacentral:rRNA from 1 species